rnacentral:rRNA from 1 species
UGCUCGAGUGGCGAACGGGUGAGUAACACGUGAGUAACCUGCCCUUGACUUUUGGAUAACUUCAGGAAACUGGGGCUAAUACCGGAUAGGAGCUCCUGCUGCAUGGUGGGGGUUGGAAAGUUUCGGCGGUUGGGGAUGGACUCGCGGCUUAUCAGCUUGUUGGUGGGGUAGUGGCUUACCAAGGCUUUGACGGGUAGCCGGCCUGAGAGGGUGACCGGCCACAUUGGGACUGAGAUACGGCCCAG